CUACAACAGGGGCGUCCAACCCACGGCCCAGGGGCAGCAUGCGGCUCUGGAACGCUAGCAGUGCGACCCUGCUGCUGUUUGUGCUGAAUUGAGGCGAGGGAGCACAUAUCAUGCUCCCUCCUGCGCCCUGCAGUGAGCCGGCCAACGGGAUAUGACAUUAUCCUGGCAUCGGUAUCACUGUUGGGUGCGUGAGAGACCUGUGCAGGA